rnacentral:rRNA from 1 species
CACGACCGUACCGCAAACCGACACUGGUGCGCGAGAUGAGUAUUCUAAGGCGCUUGAGAGAACUCUGGAGAAGGAACUCGGCAAAUUGACACCGUAACUUCGGAAGAAGGUGUGCCUUUAGUAGGUGAAGUCCCUCGCGGAUGGAGCCCAAUGAGGUUGCAAAAAAUCGGUGGCUGCGACUGUUUAAUAAAAACACAGCACUCUGCAAAGACGAAAGUCGACGUAUAGGGUGUGACGCCUGCCCGGUGCUGGAAGAUUAAAUGAUGGGGUGCAAGCUCUUGAUUGAAGUCCCAGUAAACGGCGGCCGUAACUAUAACGGUCCUAAGGUAGCGAAAUUCCUUGUCGGGUAAGUUCCGACCUGCACGAAUGGCGUAACGAUGGCCACACUGUCUCCUCCAGAGACUCAGCGAAGUUGAAAUGUUUGUGAUGAUGCAAUCUCCCCGCGGAAAGACGGAAAGACCCCAUGAACCUUUACUGUAGCUUUGUAUUGGACUUUGAACAGAUCUGUGUAGUAUAGGUGGGAGGCUUUGAAGCAGGGUCGCUAGAUCUUGUGGAGCCAACGUUGAAAUACCACCCUGGUGUGUUUGAGGUUCUAACCUAGGUCCAUUAGCUGGAUCGGGGACAGUGCAUGGUAGGCAGUUUGACUGGGGCGGUCUCCUCCCAAAGCGUAACGGAGGAGUUCGAAGGUACGCUAGGUACGGUCGGACAUCGUGCUAAUAGUGCAAUGGCAUAAGCGUGCUUAACUGCGAGACUGACAAGUCGAGCAGAUGCGAAAGCAGGACAUAGUGAUCCGGUGGUUCUGUAUGGAAGGGCCAUCGCUCAACGGAUAAAAGGUACUCUGGGGAUAACAGGCUGAUACCGCCCAAGAGUUCAUAUCGACGGCGGUGUUUGGCACCUCGAUGUCGGCUCAUCUCAUCCUGGGGCUGUAGCCGGUCCCAAGGGUAUGGCUGUUCGCCAUUUAAAGAGGUACGUGAGCUGGGUUUAAAACGUCGUGAGACAGUUUGGUCCCUAUCUUCCGUGGGCGCUGCAGAUUUGAGGAAGCCUGCUCCUAGUACGAGAGGACCGGAGUGGACACACCUCUGGUGUAUCGGUUGUCACGCCAGUGGCAUUGCCGAGUAGCUAAGUGUGGAAGAGAUAACCGCUGAAAGCAUCUAAGCGGGAAACUCGUUUCAAGAUGAGAUCUGCCGGGGCCUUGAGCCCCCUAAAGAGUCGUUCAAGACCAGGACGUUGAUAGGUCAGGUGUGGAAGCGCAGUAAUGCGUUAAGCUAACUGAUACUAAUUGCUCGUGCGACUUGACCG